rnacentral:rRNA from 1 species
GUCGAGCGAGAAAGCCCCUUCGGGGGUGAGUAGAGCGGCGGACGGGUGAGUAAUGCGUGAACAACCUGCCUUUAGGACUGGGAUAACUAUGGGAAACUGUAGCUAAUACCGGAUAAGACCACGAUUUCUACGGAUUUUGAGGUAAAAGGUGGCCAGCUUUGCUGGCUAUCACCUUUAGAUGGGUUCACGUUCCAUCUGGUAGUGAGGUAACGGCUCACCAAGCCUAAGACGGAUAGUUGGCCUUAGCGGGUGGCCAACCACACGGGGACUGAGACACGGCCCCGACUCCUACGGGAGGCAGCAGUGAGGAAUAUUGGGCAAUGGGCGAAAGCCUGACCCAGCGACGUCGCGUGGGGGAUGAAGGCCUUCGGGUCGUAAACCCUUGUCAUAGGGGAAGAUGGGUAUGUGUGCUAAUACCACACAUACUUGACGGUACCCUAAAAGGAAGCCCCGGCUAACUCCGUGCCAGCAGCCGCGGUAAUACGGAGGGGGCAAGCGUUGCUCGGAAUUACUGGGCGUAAAGGGUCCGCAGGUGGUUUUGCAAGUUAGAUGUGAAAACUCAGGGCUCAACCCGGAAACUGCAUCUAAUACUACAAAACUAGAGUCUAGGAGAGG